rnacentral:rRNA from 1 species
UACGUAGGGUGCAAGCGUUGUCCGGAAUUAUUGGGCGUAAAGAGCUCGUAGGCGGUUAGUCACGUCGGCUGUGAAAACCUGGGGCUCAACUCCGGGCCUGCAGCCGAUACGGGCUGACUAGAAUUCGGUAGGGGAGACUGGAAUUCCUGGUGUAGCGGUGAAAUGCGCAGAUAUCAGGAGGAACACCGGUGGCGAAGGCGGGUCUCUGGGCCGAUAUUGACGCUGAGGAGCGAAAGCGUGGGGAGCGAACAGG